AACGAACACUGGCGGCAGGCCUAACACGUGCAAGUCGAGCGCUUCACUUCGGUGAGGAGCGGCGGACGGGUUAGUAACGCGUGGGAAUAUACCCUUCACUACGGGAUAGCCUCGGGAAACUGAGAGUAAUACCGUAUACGCCCUUCGGGGGAAAGAUUUAUCGGUGAUGGAUUAGCCCGCGUUAGAUUAGAUAGUUGGUGGGGUAAUGGCCUACCAAGUCUACGAUCUAUAGCUGGUUUGAGAGGAUGAUCAGCAACACUGGGACUGAGACACGGCCCAG
rnacentral:rRNA from 1 species